rnacentral:rRNA from 1 species
GACGAACGCUGGCGGCGUGCCUAAUACAUGCAAGUAGAACGCACAGUUUAUACCGUAGCUUGCUACACCAUAGACUGUGAGUUGCGAACGGGUGAGUAACGCGUAGGUAACCUGCCUGGUAGCGGGGGAUAACUAUUGGAAACGAUAGCUAAUACCGCAUAAUAUUAAUUAUUGCAUGAUAAUUAAUUGAAAGGUGCAAUUGCACCACUACCAGAUGGACCUGCGUUGUAUUAGCUAGUAGGUGAGGUAACGGCUCACCUAGGCGACGAUACAUAGCCGACCUGAGAGGGUGAGCGGCCACACUGGGACGGAGACACGGCCCAGAGUCCUAGGGGAGGGAGCAGUAGGGAAUCUUCGGCAAUGGACGAGAGUCUGACCGAGCAACGCCGCGUGAGUGAAGAAGGUUUUCGGAUCGUAAAGCUCUGUUGUAAGAGAAGAACGGGUGUGAGAGUGGAAAGUUCACACUGUGACGGUAUCUUACCAGAAAGGGACGGCUAACUACGUG